rnacentral:rRNA from 1 species
AGGACGAACGCUGGCGGCGCGCCUAACACAUGCAAGUCGAGCGAUAACCAGGGCUUGCCCUGGGGACAGCGGCGAACGGGUGCGUAACACGUGAGCAACCUGCCCCAAAGACCGGGACAACCCGAGGAAACUCGGACUAAUACCGGAUGCCCUCACCGGGCCGCAUGGUCUGGUGAGGAAAUGGAUUCCGCUUUGGGAUGGGCUCGCGGUCUAUCAGCUUGUUGGUGGGGUAACGGCCUACCAAGGCGACGACGGAUAGCUGGUCUGAGAGGACGAUCAGCCACACUGGGACUGAGACACGGCCCAGACUCCUACGGGAGGCAGCAGUGGGGAAUCUUGCGCAAUGGGGGAAACCCUGACGCAGCGACGCCGCGUGCGGGAUGAAGGCCUUCGGGUUGUAAACCGCUUCAGCAGGGACGAAAUUGACGGUACCUGCAGAAGAAGGCCCGGCAACUACGUGCCAGCAGCCGC